rnacentral:lncRNA from 10 species
AGACAGCAUAAGAACAACUAAAUCUCUCAAAAUUUUAUAAACAGGCUGGGCAUGGUGGCUCAUGCCUGCAAGACUCUGUCUCAAAAAAAAAAUUAUAAGCAAAAUCUACUAAAUUUUAGUCAUUUGACCGUAAGAUAUAAUUUCCAUAAACCUUUCUAUAACCUGUAUAACCUUUUUUUAAGGAGUGUGCUAAUGCUCUAAGAAAAUGCUCAAAAACCAGCCAUAUGCUGGUUUUGCAUCAGUGUGCCUUUGACAUUAAUGGUUAGGUUUAUAGAGAACCAAACUAAUUUAAUCUCUCAACAUCAGCCCUUACAAUCUCAUGCACCCAGCUCUUCCACAAUAGUCCCUGAGCCUUGGGAAGUCGAAUACGUUUAAUUUCUGGCCCUGUGUCUCAUGAAAGCAGUUUAUUUUGAUUGGCAUCUUCUACCAGGUCUGAAGAUGAGGCUUUAACUGCUGUCAGUAUUUAAGAUUGAGCAGGACUUAGUGUCCUUUUUAGACUCAAGAGUCAAACCCUGUAAUUGAAUGGCACAAAAACUUGAAAAGCACAUACAGAAAGUUACACGGAUGCAAUAACUUUAAUUUAGAAUGUUUUUUCAGUUUUUUCUAAGCAAACCAAAACUUAAUAGUAAUGAUAUAGGAAUUAUUUCAAUAAAACAUAAAAUCUGUUUGUUAGGCCAGUUACCAAAAGGCAAAAGCAAAGACCUUCUGCAGUGUAAUUUCUGUUCCCUAUGGGGAAUCCAUUUAGAUAAUCUGCAAGUCAAAACUAAUGAAAAUAGUACUUGAAUUAGACAUAGGAAGAAUGUUUCCUGGGUCACAAGUAAAAAUUUUCAGAUUCAUAGAACAAUUUAAAGCCAAGAGCACAGGACACUAUGUUAGAAGAAAACAUUUCCUUUAGACCUUUAAGAUAAAACAUUUUUAGCAUCAGGCCACAACAAAUAAUUAGAACCUGAGGGGAGAAAAACUUACAGGAGCUGAAAAUGAGUUGAAGGAGAGUUAUUAUUUCAGGCCUUUUAAAAGGGGAGAGAAAGCUGAAAACAGCAAAAUGCAAUAAAAGUUGAACUUUGGGCUAAAAAAAAAAUUA